CCCUAAACACCAACCCCCCACACUGAGCACACAACCCCCACUCAUAAGCGUAACACAUACACACACACGGACAAGAGAGGAGGAAGGAGAAGAGGACAGCGCCGGCGGGUUAGGUGCCGCCGUCGCCGUCGUUGCCAAGCCCGAAGGAGAAAGAGAGUCCGCAAAGGGAGAGUGAGGGACGGAGAAGAGAAGCCGCGCUAACCCCGCAACGCCACUGCGUCGUCGCCUCCGUUGAGCGGUCGCCAUCAUCGUGAGAGAAAGGAGAAGGAGCCGUCGAGGGGUCGCCGAGCCGCUGCCGUCGCCGUCGCGUUCGUUUCUGUCACAGAAGCUUCCAUUUUCGUCACUUUCAUAUUGCGGAGAGAAAGAACUACGCAUGAGCCAGGGGCCAGGGAAAGGGAGCCACCGCCGUUGCAUCCUGGCUACACCGCCAUUCAAUUCGUUGUUUCAUCAUGGCCAUGGAGAGGAACGUGAAUGGAAAAGGAAACAGGGAAGCUGCUACUUGGGAUUUGAGGAAAACGGCUCUUUUCUGCCUCGCCUCUAGGUUCUGCAAGUUGCCGGAGUCCUCAGCCACCGGGAACCAGCACUGGAGCUGCCCAGAAUCACUACUGCUGCUGCCAUGGGAGCUGGUAUUGGAACCACUGAUGGAGCUGCUGUGUUUAGUGAUUUUCGCGAGUUGUGACAUCGAGGAUUGAAAUUGUAGAUAAAUGCUUUUGCCAUGACAUAAUGGAACAGAUUGUUGAUUCUUUGGAAAGAGUGGCAAGUGAAACAAAUGAUGCAUGGUGCAUUUCUACCCUAAAUAGACUUAAAGAAGCUUCGCCAUUGAGCUUGAAGGUUUCCCUGAGAUCAAUACGAGAGGGUAGAUUUUAAACUCUUGACCAGUGCUUGUUGCGUGAGUACCAUACGACUUUACAAGCAAAAUCUAAGCAGAUUUCUGGUGACUUUUGUGAGGUAAUGAACAUUGCCAGCAUUACAAAUCCAACAUCAUUCAAAGAUGAGGUUUCUAGGUGGUUUAUAAAUAGAAAACAGUGAAGAAAACACGAGGACCUACACAAUGCUUGAAGAUUCAUGCAAGACAGCUGGAAGAUAGAGAAGAAAUUACUCUAGAUAGUGAAGGAGAGGCAAUUGGUCCUACUGAUGAAGUUGGAAACAACUUGAGCAAAUUUUUGGGCACAGUGACAAGGAAUUUAGAUUUUUGUCCAUUAAUUUACACAAAUUGGAAGGGGUUAAAGAUAAAGAAGCCAUUUGGGAAUAUAUUCAAGUGAGAACUUUAGUCUUGUUUCUUUUAGAAAGUAUCUGAAAAUGUACACAUGUAUUUUAUUCUUACUAACAUGAUGACUAUUUGCUACUUAGCUAUUUCAACUCUCUUUUGUUAUUAUAUUUUUUGCAAACUUAGAUGAUAUUGUGGAUCUUACAACAAUUUUUAUAAGUUAAAUUUGAUGGGAAAUGUUCAAUUUUUUUUUCUUUA